GUGCCUAAUACAUGCAAGUCAACGGCUUUCUAUGGAAGCUUGCUUCCACUGAGAAGAUAGUGGCGAACGGGUGAGUAACACGUGGGUAACCUGCCCAUAAGAGGGGGAUAACAUCCGGAAACGGGUGCUAAUACCGCAUAGUUUUCUUGAUCGCAUGAUUGAGAAAGGAAAGACGGCCUUUGUGCUGUCGCUUAUGGAUGGACCCGCGGCGUAUUAGUUAGUUGGUGAGGUAACGGCUCACCAAGACGAUGAUACGUAGCCGACCUGAGAGGGUGAUCGGCCACAUUGGGACUGAGACACGGCCCAAACUCCUACGGGAGGCAGCAGUAGGGAAUCUUCCGCAAUGGACGAAAGUCUGACGGAGCAACGCCGCGUGAGUGAAAGAAGGUUUUCGGAUCGUAAAACUCUGUUGUCAGAGAAGAACAAGUUGGAGAGUAACUGCUCCAGCCUUGACGGUAUCUGACCAGAAAGCCACGGCUAACUACGUGCCAGCCGCGGC
rnacentral:rRNA from 1 species